rnacentral:rRNA from 1 species
CUCGUAGGCGGCCAACUAAGUCGGACGUGAAAUCCCCAGGCUCAACCUGGGAACUGCGUCCGAUACUGGAUGGCUUGAAUUCGGGAGAGGGAUGCAGAAUUCCAGGUGUAGCGGUGAAAUGCGUAGAUAUCUGGAGGAAUACCGGUGGCGAAGGCGGCAUCCUGGACCGACAUUGACGCUGAUGAGCGAAAGCCAGGGGAGCAAACGG